rnacentral:rRNA from 1 species
CUACGGGUGGCUGCAGUGAGGAAUAUUGCACAAUGGGGGGAACCCUGAUGCAGCAACGCCGCGUGGAGGAUGACGCAUUUCGGUGUGUAAACUCCUUUUAUAUGUCAAGAAAAUGACGGUAGCAUAUGAAUAAGCACCGGCUAACUCCGUGCCAGCAGCCGCGGUAAUACGGAGGGUGCAAGCGGUACUCGGAAUCACUGGGCGUAAAGGACGCGUAGGCGGGUUGGAAAGUCAGGUGUGAAAUCCUACAGCUUAACUGUAGAACUGCACUUGAAACUUCUAAUCUAGAGUAUGGGAGGGGGAGAUGGAAUUAGUGGUGUAGGGGUAAAAUCCGUAGAUAUCACUAGGAAUACCUAAAGCGAAGGCGAUCCCCUGGAACAUUACUGACGCUAAGGCGUGAAAGCGUGGGGAGCAAACAGGAUUAGAUACCCGUGUAGUC